AGGGGGAGAAUAUAGGCUUGGAUGCAUUUUCAAUCAGGUGUAGGACAUGUAAUGCUCCUCUGAGAUGUCAUGCUGACAAGAACAGCAGGGUGGUAAAUUUUACAGGGUUGCAUUUUUUUAAUUAUUAUUAUUUUUUUCCCCAGUCAUAACCAUAGAACCAUAGAAGAGUUACCCAGAUAAAGUGAGCAUUUGUCACCUGGACUUCCUACAAAUGACACAGGCAGUGGGAAUCAGCAUCCGAAGCAUCCUUAAGACCCCUACAAAAGAAUGGUGAGAGUUACCCUGGUAGGGUCCUUUGGAAACCUCAGGUCUCUGUAAGCUCCUAAGCUGUGUCGGAGCUCCUCCCGCGGUGCGGACUCAGCUCUCCCUGUCUUUUGUGUAGGAGAGCUAGACUUCAGCUCCUUCCUGUUUCCUGCCCAUGCGCUCUGUGCUUUGCCCGUGGCCCAGUGAGGUUUUGUUCCUCGCACCCAGCUUGGUACGUGUGGAUAAGGGCCUCUGUUUAUGAACAUUUAUUUUCUGCUGGUGGUGUCAGGCUGAGUGACGGCUCACAGCUGAGCUGGUGGUUAGCGAGACACACAAUAGCUGGAGAUGCACUUCUGUGUGUCACUAAAACGUGAGCUUUGUGGCUGCCAUGAGCAAAGAAACAGAGAAAACGUGUUUUAUUUCUGUGUUUGGCUGAGCGGUUAGAGCAGGGCAAGGAGGCUGAUUGGGGUUUGCUGCUUUCCAAAUAGUGUGCUGUUUGCUGGCAGUGCUCCCGGUGUUCAAAAUUCUGUCACUGUGAAGUGUAAACCCUUUGCUUAGUUGACUUGUUGCAGCAGUUUUCUUUCUCCUGCUGAACCCUUCCUGAGCACUUUUGUACACAGCCAUGGCCUUUGCCUCUUUCUUUCCUUCAUUCUUUGUUGUGUUUGACACUCUGCAAGUUGUGAAUUGCCAGGGAACAGCUCAAUGUGCUCUGGAGUUCUGGGGGACAAACUCCCAAGAAACACUGCACAGCUUCAAAGCCCCAAAGCUUGGAGAGAUGAGAGAUGUGCAGCGCUCUGCCUGGUGAAGGACACGAUGGGCUCUGCAAGGCGCUUUCCACAAAGCCAUCAGAUCCGUGCUCAAAGUGCAUCCAAAGCAACCCAGUGCCCUGUGCUUGUUGCACCCGGAGCUAUCGGUGCCAGGAGUUGCUGCUGUGUUUGCAAGGACAUUGUAUCAGCAGUGUGAUGUCAAUGGGGUUGGUUUAUGGAAAUGAAACAGUUUAAUUGUGUACCUCAAGACUAAGGUAGUGAAAAAGAUAGUAGUUAUGAAUGUGUUUAUAUAUCCAUCUGCCCGAGGGCAGGAAGGCCCCCGGAGGGACGGACUGAGGCCAGUUGUACGAGGCUCAGCAGGAGCAAGUGCCGGGUCCUGCGCUUUGGUCACGGUGACCCCAUGCCGGCUUCUCCAGGAUUCAGCUGAGAUGGAAUUCCAACCGCCCAGUGACUGUAGAAUGUUGGGGUGCUGCGUUGGAAUAUUCCAGUCUUGUGACGUCGUGGUCUUGCCUCCCCACCCUGUCGUGGCGGAGCAGCCUGGUGGCCUUCAGUGAUGUCAUAAGCGCUGGAAUGAGGGGAGGAGCAGUGUGUGCUGCGUCCCUUCAUUGGAGCGCUUGAGCUCUGACUGAGUAGCUCGCUUGUUGCACUUGUGCACCAACUGAGUACCUUCGUUUUCACACCGUCUUGUGCGGCGUCUUGUAGGUAAGCUGAGACAGCGUGGGAGAGACGGGUGGGCAGUGAGGGGUUGAGAACUGCUGGCUGGCGGAGCUCGUAGUGCCAUCCUGCUUGGUCUUGACCAUCAGACGUAAUUUUCACCCAGUACGUGCAUCCCAAAGCCAUGCUUAGAGGCAGCAUUUGUCUCAUGGCUUUUCCCUCGCCUUCUUUGCUAAACUGUGCAAGCUCACUGACCGGCUCUUUCUCUAUUCUCUCCCCGCCCUCUGCCUGCUCCCUUGGUGCAGCUUUCGCUCGCGGAAGAACAGAGCAAAGUGACAAGAAACGGCUGUGAGUUCAAGGCACUCUACCUUGUUCUGAUCUCUUGCCAGUUCCAGCUUGUGGUGCCUGCUGUGAUGGGCAUCGCGUGCAGCGAGAUCAGCAGUGGGCCUGACGUGGCACAGACAGAGACUGAGACCAAGGGGAAGCCCCUGCUGGUCUGUGAGGAGUCCUCUCUUAAUACUCCAGCUGUUGCUGCUGCGCAUGUUAUUAAGAGAUACGUUGCCCAGGCACCGGACGAACUCUCCUUUGAGGUAAGCAGUUAAAGGCGUUCCUUGUUGUCAUGUGCAGAAGAGCAUAAGGUAUGAACGCAUCAGGAAUAUUCUCUGACACCAUCAGAAUGUUUUGUGAGGUGAAGCCCAGAAGAUUGAGUUUCAGAUCAGAUUUGCACUGGGUUGGAUGCAGGGAGGAGUUCAGCCAUCUCUAGAAUACGGCUUUAUUUGGCAUUUGAAUCUUCUGAUAAAACAGUGCCCAGUGUUGUAGCCUAGUCUCUGAGCAAUGGCAGACCAGCGUGUGGAGUGUGUAGAUCUGUUCAGGAUCUGUUGUGCUGACUUAUGUCUGCAGAUAAUUGGGGUUCUUCUGUCCUCUUUGGCAGAGAGCUGCUGCUGUGUAACACAGUGACUCUUCUACCUCCAAGUUCAGUUGUACAGUGGAAAACGCCUUAAGAGCAGCACUGUUGCAAUUGCUCUCCAGCCCAACAGUAUUUGGCAGUGCAGAAGA